AUGGGGACAGCACCAAUCAAUCAGGAGCAGAGCGUGAUGAAAACACAGGUGACACAGGUGGUGGAGGAGCCAACAAGGAGAGGUGUGCUGCUGGACCUCAUACUAACAAACAAAGAAGGACUGGUGGAAGAUGUGAAGGUCGGGGGCUGCCUUGGCUGCAGUGACCAUGAGAUGGUGGAGUUCAGGAUCCGGCGAGGAGGCAGCAGGAAACCUAGUAGGAUCGCAACCCUGGACUUCAGGAGAGCAAACUUUGGCCUCUUCAGGGACCUACUUGGAGGAAUCCCAUGGGUUAGGGCCCUAGAAGGAAGGGGGGUCCAAGAGAGCUGGUUAAUAUUCAAACAUUGCUUCCUCCAGGCUCAAGAGCGGUGCAUCCCUAUGAGUAGGAAGUCAAGCAAAGGAGGCAGGARACCUKCAUGGAUGAGCAAGGAGCUCCUGGGAAAACUCAACCAGAAGAAGGAAGUAUACAGAAAGUGGAAAGGGGGACAGGCCACUUGGGAGGAAUAUAGGAAUGUUGUCAGAGUAUGCAGGGAUGCAACGAGGAAGGCUAAGGCCUGUUUGGAAUUAAAUCUGGCAAGGCAUGUCAAGGACAGCAAGAAGGGCUUCUUCAAAUACAUCAGCAGUAAGAGGAAGACUAGGGAAAAUGUGGGCCCUUUGCUGAAUGGGGUGGGCGCCCUGGUGACGAAGGAUGCAGAGAAGGCAGAGUUACUGAAUGCCGCCUUUGCUUCAGUCUUUACUGCUCAGGCCAGCCCUCAGGAAUCUCAGACCCUGGAGGCAAGAGAGAAAGUCUGGAGAGAGGAAGACUUUCCCUUGGUCGAGGAGGAUCGGGUGAGAGAUCAUUUAAGCAAACUUGACACCCACAAAUCCAUGGGCCCUGAUGGGAUGCACCCACGAGUGCUGAGGGAGCUGGCGGACAUUAUUGCUAAGCCACUCUCCAUCAUCUUUGAAAGGUCAUGGAGAACAGGAGAGGUGCCCGAGGACUGGAAGAAAGCCAAUGUCACCCCAGUCUUCAAAAAGGGCAAGAAGGAGGACCCAGGGAACUACAGGCCAGUCAGCCUCACCUCCAUCCCUGGAAAGGUGAUGGAGCAGCUCAUCCUGGAAGCCAUCUCCCAACAUGUGGAGGACAAGAAGGUGAUCAGGAGCAGUCAGCAUGGCUUCACCAUGCUUAUCCAAAUCAUGCUUAACCAAUCUGAUAGCCUUCUAUGA
rnacentral:lncRNA from 1 species